CUCAGUCUCAGUCCAUUUGCUUUGGUUGGACCUACUUCUACUCCUCCUGCCCUCUCCCCGAGUUCUAGGGCAGUUGCAGGACUCUGGACUGGCUGAGGAGAGGAUCAAUAGCCUUUGGCCAGAUUAAUUGGUUCAGUAAUGAGCACAUGAUGCAAUUUGGACCAAUAAGAAUCAGGCCCAAGACUUCUGUUUGCAAUUUAGAAGAUAGUUUCUCUUUCUUAUCUUUAACUCUGGGGGAUAAAAGCCUGAAGUUCAUGGAAGUCAUCUAGUGAAGAAGGCUUAUUGAAGGUGAUGACAAGAAAGACUGCAGGGGUAUACUUCAAAAUACUCAUAUGUCCAAGUGUUUCAAUUCUAGAGGCUUGCUGUCUUUGUCAUUUCAUAGCUCGCCUUGGGAAGCUUAAGGUACUGUGACCGAGCUUUCAUGGAAAUCAGGAAGAUUCUGAGAGAAUCCAAAUGUGACCAUCUGGGAGAGUUAAGAGAAGAAAAUACACCAUGUGGAGAGACAAGGACUGCCACUCCUGGAGUUCCAAAUGGACAGAAGGAGAGAGCUUCCUCGCAUCUUUGGGAAAAUCCUAUCUACAUAGCAUAAAUGCCCCAUACUCCACCCUGGAAGAGGCUAAUCAGGGGCACCUCCUCAUGGGUGCCAGAUAUUAGAAGAUUUUACAGGCUCCAUUGCGGCAGAAGGUAAUCAAAAAGGCCCAAGCCCCACCCUACAGAGAGCAGCAGCAUGACCUUAAACUGCCUUUGCUGGUCACUUGGAGAGGGAGGGUCCAUUUUCCUCAGUGGGCAACAAAGCCGCUGAUAAUCAGGUGCACACAUGACGUGGAUGUAACCUGCUGAGGAAGUGUCUGAUAUACCAAAGGAGCCAGGACUCACAACAAGCCUGGCCAGGAAAAAGAAGCCUCAGAGAACCCCAGAGCAGCCUCUACUUUGUAGAUGAUAUGAGUAAAUACAACGCAGACAGCCACUUAGCAAGUUCAGAGCCACUUCCAAACGACGCUGAGGGCCUGGUGUCAGCUCCUGCACAGCAGGCUCCAUUCUCUCCCCUUCAGGCUGUGUGCAUGUUCACUCCAGUGAGUCACAAAGACACAUUCCCAGGUGCGCACCUGGCCAAAAGCACAGAAGAGGAAGUCGCACAUGUGACCAUCCUCUGCCAACCAGCCCACGUGUACAGCAGAAAUCAGUAUUGUUUGCCUCUGUAAUAAAAUCAUUGCAUAAAUUUUGUAGAGCUUUGAAUCGGCCUCGUAAGUGUCACCAGGCAACUCUUCCAAGAAGGGUAGGGGGAUGGUGAGGUAGAGAACUCCAGGGACACAGAAAAGGACCAUGGUGUGUUUCUUGCAAAGCCCUUGUGCUGGAAAUGCUAUGAAGGCAAAAACUUUAUGCUGACCAUGAAACCCAAUCAAUAUAACACAAAAUUCAGGCCAGGUACAAUGGCUCACACCUGUAAUUCCAGCAUUUUGGGAAGCCAAGGCGGGCAGAUUGCUUUAGCUCAGGAGUUCGAGACAAGCCUGGGCAAACAUGGCGAAACCCCGUCUCUAUAGAAAAUACAAAAAAAGGCCAGGAGUAGUGGCUCAUGCCUGUAAUCCCAGCACUUUGGGAGGCCGAGGCAGGCAGAUCACCUGAGGUCAGGAGUUCAAGACUAGCCUGGCCAGCAUGGUGAAACCCUGUCUCUACUAAAAAAUACAAAAAUUAGCCAGGUGUAGUGGUGGGUACCUGUAAUCUCAGCUACUUGGGAGGCUGCGGCAGGAGAAUCGCUUGAACCUGGGAGUGGGAGGUUGCAGGGAGCCAAGAUCACACCACUGCACUCCAGCCUGGGCAACAAGAGUGAAACUCCAUCUAAAAAAAAGAAAAAAAAAGGAAAAGAAAAUACUAAAAAAUAGCCAGGUGUGGUGGUGCACGCCUGUGGUCCCAGCUACUUGGGAGGCUGAGGUGGGAGAAUCACUUGAGUCUGGGGUGCAGAGGCUGCAGUGAGCUGAGAUCAUGCCACUGCACUCCAGCCUGGGCAACAGAGCAAGACUGUGUCUCAAAAAAGAAAAAAAAUCCUCGAUAAAACUACAGAACCUUGCACUUGUAGCAACCAAUGCUUCCACUCCACACUGGAGUUCUCUCUGAAAGCAUUGCAAAAAUCCCUGUUAAGGUCAUGGGCCAAAACAUAAGGGAGACAAAACCACAAAGGGUGACAUCAGUUGCUUGUAAUGGUUUAGCUGCCAUGUGGUGGUAGCCAUAAGACGGCUGCUAAUCUGUAUCUU
rnacentral:lncRNA from 1 species